CCUACGGGGGGCAGCAGUGGGGAAUAUUGGUCAAUGGCCGCAACUCUGACCCAGCCAUGCCGCGUGAAUGUAGAAGCCCUUCGGGCUGUAAAGUUCUUUAAUGGGGGACGAAGAAAGUGACGGUAUCCCAAGAAUAAGCUACGGUUAACUUCGUGCUAGCAGCCGCGGUAAUACGGAGGUGGCAGGCGUAGUCCGGAAUGACCGGGCGUAAGGGGUGCGUAGGCGGCGCGGUACGUUAGGUGUGAAAUCCCGGGGCUCAACCGCGGAACUGCUUUUAAUACUGCCGUGCUUGAGUGAUGGGGAGGAGAGCGGAAUGCGUGGUGUAGCGGUGGAAUGCGUAGAUAUUAGGAGGAACACCAGAGGCGAAGGCGGCUUACGGAACAGUAACUGACGCUGAGGCUCGAAAGCGUGGGGAGCAAACAGGAUUAGAUACCCGAGUAGUC
rnacentral:rRNA from 1 species